GAGCGUAGACGGUGUGGCAAGUCUGAUGUGAAAGGCAUGGGCUCAACCUGUGGACUGCAUUGGAAACUGUCAUACUUGAGUGCCGGAGGGGUAAGCGGAAUUCCUAGUGUAGCGGUGAAAUGCGUAGAUAUUAGGAGGAACACCAGUGGCGAAGGCGGCUGUCUGGUCUGUAACUGACGCUGAGGCUCAAAGCAUGGGUAGCGAACA
rnacentral:rRNA from 1 species